rnacentral:rRNA from 1 species
AUGUGGUCAGCGUUGGCUUUGUAUGGUACUAACAGUACUGGCGCGUUCCCCUCGGCUGGCGUCUCCGCGGGCACCACGUGUCGUGGUGGGUCCGGCGCGGGCGCGUUGCCUAGCGCUGCCGCGUCUCCACGCAAUGAUGGCCCUGACGGCUGGGCCCACAGGCGUGUGUCUCCCGCCCGGUCGCCCGUGCGGUCACACGAUCCAACGCCCGACCGCGCCGUAGUCGAGGCGGAUUCGCCCGUUUUGUCGCCUGGGCAGGCACGUGAUCCCACGCCCGACCGCACAUCAGUCGAGGAGGAUCUUCCUGGUCAUUUGGACGCCGCCAGUACUGCUGGAUCCGCUGUGGCUCCCGGAUCUUCUGCGGAUCCUGCUCAUGUACGCCCUCGUACACGAGCUCAGAAAGGUAUUUUUAAGCCUUUGGUUCCUAAAGAUGGGACGGUCAGGUAUGAUAAAAAUUUUAAAUUUGCAAAUCUUGCUGUCACUCAAGAACCUAGAAAUGUGGCAGAAGCUCUAGGAGAUAAGAAUUGGCAACGUGCUAUGGAAACGGAGUACAAUGCUCUUAUGAAAAAUCAAACUUGGCACUUGGUUUCUCCCAAGUCAGGGAGGAAUAUUAUUGACUGUAAGUGGGUGUACAAAAUUAAACGACACUCUGAUGGCACUUUAGAUAGAUAUAAAGCUAGGCUAGUUGCUAAAGGUUUCAAGCAACGCUAUGGCAUUGAUUAUGAGGACACGUUUAGUCCAGUUGUUAAAGCUGCCACCAUUAUACUUGUUUUGUCUAUUGCUGUCACCAGGGGAAACGCGCUACUGCUACAAAAUAGCUGUAGCGCCGUAGCAGUAGAGCUGGUGCCCGCGCUACUGGUAGCAAAAAAACCAGCGCACCUUGUUCUCUCCAUGAGCUGA